rnacentral:rRNA from 1 species
UUCUAUGGCCAUGCCAUCCUGAAUAUGCCUGAUCUCAUCCAUCUUGGAAGCUAAGCAGGGUUGGCCCUGGUUAGUAUUUGGAUGGGAGACAAGGCCACUGCUAUGAC